rnacentral:tRNA from 1 species
ACUCUGAGUGUAUAUCCACACCAGGCAGGCCCGAUAAACACGCCCGGCCACGGCGGGAUUCGAACCCACGACCCCCGGAACUUCCGGGGGUCGUGGGUUCGAAUCCCGCCAUGGCCGGGCAUGUUUUUCGGGCCUGUCAGGUGUGGAUAUACACUCAGAGUGGCAUCACACAAGCAUCUUAUUCACCUGAGUACAUUACACCAACACAG